CGAGCCCUAACCCUCGAGACGACAGCGGUGACAUGAGUGCCGAAGUGCAGCUUUGUGUCCAUAGUGACACCCAAAUAAGGAUGUGAAGUGCCGUUUUUAAUUGCUUCAUUGCCAAUGCGGAUAUCCUGGUAUGGCGUUAUCCUUUCAGCUAAAUUGUCCAUAUAUGCUUGUUGGUAAGCUAAAGGAUCUGCUUGCCAACAGUUUGCUGAGAGGACUACGUCAUCAGCAUAAGUGGC